UAAGACCCCAUCCUGGCAUAUGUGAUGUACCAGUUACUAUCCAAAAAAUAAUGCAGAGCCUGCCAAAUGGACGAAUGAGGACAGAAAAUGCCAAAAAUGAAAUGUACACAAUUUUUUGAAGAAUAUCUUAAAAAGCUCAUCAAUAAACUUAAAAAAUCAUAAAAAAAACAAAAAAAAAACUAACAAAUUCUUUAACAAAAAAAAAAACCUUCGUUGAAUUAUACCUUGACAGGGUAAAGAAGCUCAAGCAUUCUUUCAAUUCCUCUAAGGAGACACAGAUUUUGCAACUAAUCUAACCGAUUGCUUCCCCUCUCAUCUCAUGUGCCCUUCUAUAUCUACCUAUUCAAAACCAAAAAAAAUCGCAAAACAGAUCGAUAUAUCGACUCGUCAACGUUGAAAAUCGAUUCUACGUGUUGAAAAGACAGAGAAAUCGGUGUGGUAUAGUCAUUUUUUUUCCUGAGUUUUAUGUCAUUAGCUUUUAUUUAAACCUUAGUUUGAUAGUCGAAUCAACUGCCUAAAAAGGGGCGAAUUUUUUGGAGGCUCUUUAAUUCAAAGCUCGUGCAAUUCAUUUGUUUGUAUUUUUUUUUCUAGAUGGGGUGGCUGUGUAGUAGCUUUAGUCACAGUCGAUAAGUUGUGGAGUUCACAGAGAAAAUAAAGAAAACAUAUUUCCUCAACACGAUGAACUGCGAUGAGAAUCUGGACUCCCUCAUUUUCUCCUCUAAACCAACGCAUGGAGCUCGGAUACUCGUCCUGGUGUAAAGAGUUUGUGAGCUGCUAGUUUAAGUUUGCUUCAAGUCAAUUAUUAACUAAGAAUCAAUGUGGCCUGUACAACUACUAUCAUUAUCUCUUGUUUCCCUGAUUCAUCUCGCCGAAAUCCCUACGUCUUGUGGUCCUAACUGUGCAUUUUUGAGAGCAGCCGAGUGUAUAUUCUUACAGAGCCCAACGUACGAAUGUGAUAGCAAUGAUGCACACAUCCCCUCAUCCUUGUCGAAGUUACUGGAUACUCUUCCUCAGAACAUUAAGAACUCAAUUCUUAAUGGAAAAUUUAAAAUAGCAAAUUCCAGCGAUAUGAUGAGAGUCUCUCCAAGUCUGUUGAACCUGAUACCGACAAAGGUGGUACAGCUUAAUGCGGAAAUAGUAUCUUCAUACUUACGAGCUUAUCCCUAUGAAUCUUUGGCAGCAACUAAACUAAUCAGCUGUCUAAACUCAUCAAGAGAAAGGAAAGCUUUUCUUGAAAUUUGGAGCGGAGAUGAAUCCAAUUCAAAGAUUGAAGAUAUUGUUGCAUCAGCUCUAACAAUCUGGAAAAUAGAUGUAGAUUGGAAUUUUUUAGAUCUUGUUGAUUCAAACUCAACAGUUUUGCUACACUUGCCGCCUGACUUUCUACUCACAUUUGAUACGAAGGGAGCUUCUGAAUUGUAAGGUUUACCAGAUUAUUAGACUUGUAUUCUCUAAAUGAUUUACUUUACCCUCCUUCCUUUUUAUUCCGAUCGAGGCAUAAUUAGAAUGGUUUAAAAAUAAGUGCACCAGGUUUGGUUAUGAUCUGAUGAUUCUAACCAGAGAUCUAUCAGAGAUGCUUACAAACAAUGUGCACCGCAGCAAAGCUAAUAGUAUUUAUCUCAUAAAUUUAUUUAUAAUAAGGGAGAUUAAAUUAGCUGCAAUCAAUGUUCUAUGUAAAAAGGGCCCUCAAACCACCUUCGUUUUAAGCUAUUUCAAAACUAUCUAUCGAUACAAAUCUUACUGUUUCUAGCCUUCCCUCUUAUUUUGGACAUAUGUCACACUUACAAACGAAAGUGGUUGGAAAAUUCUGAUCCUUCUUCGAGUUUUGUCGUUUUGAGAACUUUAAAUGCGUUUUUCUCAUAACAUUGUUAUAGCAUAAGAGCCCUUUUCAUAUGUAAUGCCUCAAUUAAAAUGUCUUUCCUAUGGAGCUUUCCUAAAACGUUGGUAUGCAAGUUUUGCAAUCUGUCUGCAUGAAUUAAUUUGAACUUGCAGAGUUCAAGACUCUUUGAAAUAUAUGUUCAUGAUUUUGUAGUUCGUUGAAACAGGGUUUAAAGUCCCGCCUGAGUAAGUUUGUCUAAGGGUUGUACGACUCAAAAAUUCUAAGUUCAUUACAAGGAAAUUUAUGGGAAAAAUGUUUUUUUUUUCAAUUUAGACUCAAAGAGAAACCUAUUUUUUCUGUAGGACAGGGUUUCCUUUUUUCAUUAAAGAUUCCAAUUUUCCGCUUCUUCUCUUUUAAUUUUCUUUUUGGGGGAGGGGGGGGGGGCAAUUUUUCCCACCCCUAUGGAUCGUUAAUUUUACUCUUACACAUCAAACUAAAUGUUAUUUAGUGAAUAUUUU
rnacentral:lncRNA from 1 species